CACGUAGGGGGCGAGCGUUGUCCGGAUUUAUUGGGCGUAAAGAGCUCGUAGGCGGUUCGAUAAGUCGGGUGUGAAAACUCUGGGCUCAACUCAGAGACGCCACCCGAUACUGUUGUGACUUGAGUCCGGUAGGGGAGUAUGGAAUUCCCGGUGUAGCGGUGAAAUGCGCAGAUAUCGGGAGGAACACCAGUGGCGAAGGCAGCCUCCUGGGCCAGCACUGACGCUCAUGCACGAAAGCGUGGGGAGCAAACAGG
rnacentral:rRNA from 1 species